rnacentral:rRNA from 1 species
UACGGAGGGUGCGAGCGUUGUCCGGAAUCAUUGGGCGUAAAGGGCGCGUAGGUGGCCCAGUCAGCGUGCGGUGAAAGCUCGGGGCUCAACCCCGAGUCGGCCGUGCGAACUACUGGGCUGGAGCACUGUAGAGGCAGGCGGAAUUCCGGGUGUAGCGGUGGAAUGCGUAGAGAUCCGGAAGAACACCGGUGGCGAAGGCGGCCUGCUGGGCAGUUGCUGGACACUGAGGCGCGACAGCGUGGGGAGCA